GUAGGUGGCAAGCGUUGUCCGGAAUUAUUGGGCGUAAAGCGCGCGCAGGCGGUCCUUUAAGUCUGAUGUGAAAGCCCACGGGCUCAACCGUGGAGGGUCAUUGGAAACUGGGGGACUUGAGUACAGAAGAGGAAAGCGGAAUUCCAAGUGUAGCGGUGAAAUGCGUAGAGAUCUGGAGGAACACCAGUGGCGAAGGCGGCUUUCUGGUCUGUAACUGACGCUGAGGCGCGAAAGCGUGGGGAGCAAACAGGAUUAGAUACCCUGGUAGUCCACGCCGUAAACGAUGAGUGCUAAGUGUUAGGGGGUUUCCGCCCCUUAGUGCUGCAGCUAACGCAUUAAGCACUCCGCCUGGGGAGUACGGCCGCAAAGGCUG
rnacentral:rRNA from 1 species